rnacentral:lncRNA from 1 species
GAUCGGAGAUCUUAGGAGGUGUGCUGGUUCUUGCUGAUAUAUGUUGUCAGAUUUUCUCUAUCCCGGUGUUAUAUUUCAAGGUGCUGGGCGGAAUUCUGUGGAAGUAAUUUAGGAAGCUGUUGUUCAAAACAAGGGUUCAACCUUUGAUGGCUGUAAAAUCCUUGAUUUGAACUGGCGAAACCCUAGCUAGGGUUUGCUAUCUCGGCAUCCUGUUGCCGGGGUAGUUGGACCAGUCUUGUGAAUUUGGGACAGGAAGGGCAGCAGAAGUUUGGUCCGAUUCUGUUACAUUUAGGUAUUGUUCUUGAUUUCAUAUUGAUUGUUUAAAGUUGAGAAUAAGUGUAUCUAGUUUUUUGAUUGGUUGUGAGGAUUGCGUUUUUGAUGAGUUUUUUUGUGAACGCUAUUUGAAAGUACAGAAUGCAAUCUUGUAGAAUUUAAUACUCAUUCUAUUCGUUUGUGUCUUGAACGUUUUUAAAAUGUCUUUCGACUGUGGUGCAAAUCGUACUGAUGUAUACGUUGUUAUCAGCCUUGUUGCUUGA